CCCUUAGAUGUUCUGGGCUGCACGCGCGCUACACUGAUGCGCUCAACGAGUUUACGAACUUGCCCGGAAGGGUUGGUAAAUCUUUUUAAAACGCAUCGUGAUGGGGAUAGACCAUUGCAAUUAUUGGUCUUAAACGAGGAAUUCCUAGUAAGCGCAAGUCAUCAGCUUGCGUUGAUUACGUCCCUGCCCUUUGUACACACCGCCCGUCGCUACUACCGAUUGAAUGGUUUAGUGAGAUCUUCGGAUUGGAGCCCUCAGGAGCAGCGAUGCUUCCUUGGGAAUUCGAGAAGUUGCUCUAACUGANUNAUUUAGNGGAAGUAAAANUCGUANCA
rnacentral:rRNA from 1 species